rnacentral:lncRNA from 1 species
CGAAAGAUGACACUGGCGUGAUGCAUCACAACUUAAGGGAGUGUUUGCAACAGCCAAGGCCAAAGGGGGUCAUGAUAAAUUGCACAAUCGACGUUGGAUACAGCAUAAUUUCCUUCAAUGAUCAAAGAGGCCUUGGGAGGAAGGUUCUAGUAUCACCCCCGUUUCACAGGUGAGGAAGCUGUGCCUCAUUUAUAUAACCUGCAAGGGUCACCCACUCAGUAAGCCUCAAGCUAAGACUUUGCAAUAUUAAUGAUCACUGCACCUGUAGAAAA